GCCGGGUGUGGUGGCGCGCGCCUGUAAUCCCGGCUACUCGGGAGGCUGAGGCUGGAGGAUCGCUUGAGCUCAGCAGUUCUGGGCUGCAGUGCGCUAUGCCAAUUGGGUGUCCGCACUAAGUUCGGCAUCAAUAUGGUGACCUCCUGGGAGCAGGGGACCACCAGGUUGCCUAAGGAGGGGUGAAUUGGCCCAGGUUGGAAACAGAGCGGGUCAAAACUCCCGUGCUGAUGAGUAGUGGGAUCACGCCUGUGAAUAGCCACUGUACUCCAGCCUGGGCAGCAUAGUGAGACCCUGUCUCU
rnacentral:SRP_RNA from 1 species